CAUCUUUCUAGAACUUAUUUCUACCCUGUUUACUUGGUGUUUAUCUGUCUCCCCUAUGUAGAAAGCAGCACAAAAGCAGGAACCCUGUCUAUCCUGUUUACCGCUUACCCCACAUCCAGUACAAUGGCUGGCAUCUAUUCGGUAGAACUGACUUCAGGAUCACUUCAAAAGUUACACAAGCUCUUAGACAAGAUGGCAUGAAGAAAAAAGUUACAGAAGAAAACUAGAUUCACAGCUGGGCAUGGUGGCUUAUAUCUGUAAUCCCAGCACUUUGGGAGGCUGAGGCAGAGGGUCGCUUGAGUCCAGGAGUUAAAGAACAGCCUGGUCAUGGCAGUGAAACCCCAUCUCUACAAAAGAAACAAAUUUAAAUUAACUGGGCAUGAUGGUACGUGCCUGUUGUCCCAGCUACUGGGAAGACUGAAGCAGGAGGAUCGCUUGAGCUCAGGAGUUUGAGGCUGUGAGCCAUGAUUGUGCCACUGUACUCAGCCUGGGCAACAGAGUGAGACCUUGUCUCAAAAAUAAAAAAUAAAUAAAAUUUGUCACCUGUGUCAAUAUUUUGAAGAAUAAACUUUAGGCUCUAAAGGGAAUUUGCAAAGGGAAAUUCAGGCACCUCUCAUUCUGAUGUGUAAGUUCUCCAGUGUUAUGUUACUUCUAAAAGAUCAUCUUGUUUUACAGUGAAACUUCUUUUUUCUUUAAGACAAAGUCUCGCUCUGUCACCCAGGCUGGAGUGCAGUGGUGCGAUCUUGGCUCACUGCAACAUCUGCAUCCUGGGCUUAAUUGAUUCCCC
rnacentral:lncRNA from 10 species